rnacentral:rRNA from 1 species
UUGGGAAUAUUAUUAAACCUAAAGGCGUAAUGAAAGUGAAGGUUCUCCUCGCGAGAACCUAGGGAGGACGGGCGGUUUUGUUACACCCUUAAAAGUGGCCGCUCCGCACUCCCGGGGCGUCUCGUUCUCAUCGCGAGAAGAGGCGCACCAAGAGCGUACACGCUGGGACCCGAAAGAUGGUGAACUAUGCCUGGUCAGGACGAAGUCAGGGGAAACCCUGAUGGAGGUCCGUAGCGAUUCUGACGUGCAAAUCGAUCGUCGGAACUGGGUAUAGGGGCGAAAGACUAAUCGAACCAUCUAGUAGCUGGUUCCCUCCGAAGUUUCCCUCAGGAUAGCUGGCGCUCGUUGCGCACGAGUCUCAUCCGGUAAAGCGAAUGAUUAGAGGCAUUGGGGUCGAAACGACCUCAACCUAUUCUCAAACUUUAAAUGGGUGAGAUCUCCGGCUUGCUCGAACAACAUACGUCUACUUUUCGCGAAGUGGACGGUUUGAAGCCGCGAGAUAGACGGAUCA